rnacentral:lncRNA from 1 species
UUUGACUUCAGAUACUAAGCUUGGGCAAGUCAUUUAGCCCUGCUUGUCUCAGUUUCCUUAUCUGUAAAAAAAAAGUUGAAGAAGGAAAUGGCAAACCAUGCUAGUACUCUUGCAAGAAAAUCCCAAAUGGGAUUGUGAAGAGAUGGACAUGACUAAAAUGACUAAACAAAUUUGUACUCCAAAGUUUCUCCAAAGCCGUUCCAUUACAUAUUAUCACAAUUCCACCAGAAGCAGGAUCCCUAGCCUCUCUCAAGAUUGGGAAUUGCAUAGGCCAAACAUGCUGCCAUCCUUCCUGAAUGCUGUAUUCUCCAUUAUAAUCAGACUUUUCUCCUUAUUCAAGAAUUGUAAUCACUUCCCAUUAUCUCUGAAUUCCUGCCAGACUUCCAGAAUCUUUCAUAACUUUCCCCUUCCUUGCCUAUCCUACUGUAUUUCCUUCUACUUCCUGUUUGUUCUGUUUAGAUUUAAAUUACAUUCCAUGCCCAUUAUCAAUGCAGAUUUUUUUUUUUGCUGAGGCAAUUGGGGUUAAGUGACUUGCCCAGAGUCACACAUCUAUGAACUGUUGAAAUGUCUGAGAGCAAAUUUUAACUUGGGUCCUCCUGAAUUCAAGGCUGGUGCUCUAUCCACUGUACCACCUACCUACCCCAUCAAUGCAGAUUUUGAUGAUGUUUUCCCUAGCUGAAAUGUUUUCCCUUUUCAGCUCCUUUAAAUUCUUUAAAGAUAUAUUAAUUUCUUCUGUUGCAUGAAAUAAUCCUUAAAUUUCAUAGCCCAUGAUUUCAGAAAGGUCUGGAGAGACUUACACGAACUGAUGUUAAAUGAAGUAAGUAGAACCAAGAGAACAUUGUACACAGCAACAAGAUUAUUUGAUGAUCAACUGUGAUUGUCUUGGCUCUUUUCAACAUCCAAGUGAUUCAGGACAAUUCUAAUAGAUGUAAUGGAGACAGUCAUCUACAUCCAGAGAGAGGACUUUGGUAACUGAACGUGAAUCACAACAUAGUAUUUUCAUCUUUGUUGUUUGGUUUUUUUCUUUCUCAUCUCUUCCCCUCCCCCUUAAUCUGAUUUUUCUUGUGCAGCAUGCUAAGUAUGGAAUACAUUUAGGAG